UACGUAGGGGGCAAGCGUUGUCCGGAAUCAUUGGGCGUAAAGCGCGUGUAGGCGGCCCGAUAAGUCCGCUGUGAAAGUCCAGGGCUCAACCCUGGGAUGCGGGUGGAUACUGCCGAGCUCGAGUCCGGAAGAGGCGAGUGGAAUUCCUGGUGUAGCGGUGAAAUGCGCAGAUAUCAGGAGGAACACCAAUGGCGAAGGCAGCUCGCUGGGACGUGACUGACGCUGAGACGCGAAAGCGUGGGGAGCAAACAGG
rnacentral:rRNA from 1 species